GCUGAGAGGACGUACGAAAAUCGGGCUUCGCGAAUUUCAAGUGCCGGUUCCUCUAACUCUUGGGUACUGCGUACCAGGUUCUCUACCUGGUGAAUUUCGACUUCCAGGACUCGCGCUCCGACUUCCUGGGCUCCAGGUCGUCCACCCGGCAUUACCUGCAAAACUAUCCUGAUCAUCACCGUCACCAUCACCGUGCGAACUUCCGUGACCACCAAAGUGACUACUUAAGUGACUACUGAGAUGACCACCAAGUGAGCCAUGAUGACCACCCCACAACCCGUGACCACUAAAUAAGCCGUGAUUCCCAACCAGGAGGUCGGUAAAGGCAUUCAGACCAAGUGGAUCUUUAUGUUGUAACCUCUGUUCUUGACGGUGAGCAUGGAUCCGAUCCCGUUUCUCCUUGCGACGUUUUUGAAUAUCGGCAGAGGCAUCCGCUGGUCGUCGCUGGGACAGUGUGUUCCGGUUCUUUAUGAGGUUACUUAUGGCCUCCAAUGUUGCAACUGGUAUCUAGGUGCGGAAAAUAGGCUAUAUCUGAACGAUUGUGACUUGGGGUACGAAAAAAAGCCUGGUGAAGAAAACGGAGCAUUCCAGGUGUAUGCAUGCAGAAAACGUUGUUCUUCCGCAAGUUUUACGAGUACUACAUCCAGAGAAUCCUCUGACUGAGACGCGGCGUGUGCAAAUAAAACUGUUUUGUCAGAUCAAUCAACGCUACCUCGGUGAGCAUCUUCGAUGACAAACGUCCAGGAAGCGUCGAGGCGCUCAGCAACCUCGGAGUCGCCGGUGAAAGAGAAGAUCGACCGAGAAUAUCCGAGGUCAUACACCGACCUCAAGUUUGUUGAGAAUCGCGCUUUCUUUAGGAUUGGAAAGUGAAUGGCCUUAGCGAGGGCCCCGGGCAUCUUAUCCACGAUUCGCGAUCCUUCAUUUUCGUCGAUUUGCCACUCACUUGAGAAUUCCACCUCAUGUAACAUGUCUGCAACAUUUCCUGACGCAGAGCCAAGUGUUUUUUGUUCAUCUCUCUAAAUCCCCGCGGUCGCAUUGCGCCAAUAAAUAAUCUCCACCUGGUCGAUCGGUCUUAGAAAAUCAUGAUAACACGAUAUGCUCACUUUUCUUAUCUUGCAACCUGCUCUAACAGAACUACAUCGCAAUACGACAAGAUCGGCGAUAUCUCAAUGGUUACCCAUUCAUUUCACACUCAACUAACUUCGGUUUUUCAGUAUAAAAAUUAUUUCCAGGAGUAUUCGCAGUACGGGAGAAUCUUGUAACUUAAUUAUCCAGCCAGUCGAUCACAUCGUCAGUUCUAAAGAUCAGCUCGAUUGCAUUGACUUGAGAUUAUUAAAGGACUUUUAGGUCGGAGGGUACUGAGUGAGUGAUCAAUCAAUGAACGCAGGUUUAAGUAAGCUUCGCAAGUUUUAUUAACAUAACGCAUCCUUGAACCACCUUUUCAUCUAAUCACAUUCCCACCGUUCAUAUUCUCUUCCACAUUUUCACCCUAUCACAUCUUCGCUCUCCUGUUUUCCAAUUUCCGCAUUGAUCCACUCAAAAUGGAUUUAAAGAAGUCUGUCAGUCGUAGCAGUUGCAUAUUAUAGCAGGACAAUUAUCUGACAGGAAUCUAUGAUUUUUAUUUCACAACGAUUCAGCCAAUAUAAACGUAUAAGGUAAGACAUUAAUCGGCAUACAUUCGCAGCGUUUUAGCAAACCUUCCACUUCCUGGAUUGUUGAAGAUUAUUUGAGCCAAAACAUCUCACCAAAUUUAUUGUUACUACAUGCAGUUUCCU
rnacentral:lncRNA from 1 species